UACGUAGGCAGCGAGCGUUGUUCGGAGUUACUGGGCGUAAAGGGCGCGUAGGCGGCCACCGCAAGUCGACUGUGAAAUCUCCGGGCUUAACCCGGAAAGGUCAGCCGAUACUGCGGGGCUAGAGUGCAGAAGGGGCAACUGGAAUUCUCGGUGUAGCGGUGAAAUGCGUAGAUAUCGAGAGGAACACCUGCGGCGAAGGCGGGUUGCUGGGCUGACACUGACGCUGAUGCGCGAAAGCCAGGGGAGCGAACGGG
rnacentral:rRNA from 1 species